rnacentral:rRNA from 1 species
GACGAACGCUGGCGGCGUGCCUAAUACAUGCAAGUUGAGCGCUGAAGGUUGGUACUUGUACCAACUGGAUGAGCAGCGAACGGGUGAGUAACGCGUGGGGAAUCUGCCUUUGAGCGGGGGACAACAUUUGGAAACGAAUGCUAAUGCCGCAUAAAAACUUUAAACACAAGUUUUAAGUUUGAAAGAUGCAAUUGCAUCACUCAAAGAUGAUCCCGCGUUGUAUUAGCUAGUUGGUGAGGUAAAGGCUCACCAAGGCGAUGAUACAUAGCCGACCUGAGAGGGUGAUCGGCCACAUUGGGACUGAGACACGGCCCAAACUCCUACGGGAGGCAGCAGUAGGGAAUCUUCGGAAAUGGACGAAAGUCUGACCGAGCAACGCCGCGUGAGUGAAGAAGGUUUUCGGAUCGUAAAACUCUGUUGGUAGAGAAGAACGUUGGUGAGAGUGGAAAGCUCAUCAAGUGACGGUAACUACCCAGAAAGGGACGGCUAACUACGUG